AGUUCAACAAAGAAUUAAGUGCCAGGGUCUGUGCUAGAAGUCGUCUCAUGAGUUGCUUCAUUUUACUGUCCCAGUACCCCUGGGAGGUGUGUGUUUUUUUGU